UGGUGACUGUAGAAAGGGUGCGGUGCAGUGCAGAGCCAGAGUGUAAGGGAAGGUCACUCAAAUGCAAGCAGCUCCCCAGGUGUCGCAGAGUGUGAGGAGUGCUCAGAUCUGCAGAGGCAGCACUCAGGCACCAGCGGGAUGGCAGGAAACAAAACCAGAAGGCCGGUGAAGGAGCUUUGGAAGUGGCUACCCCUGCUUGCCACCCAUGUAAGCUGCUGUGUGACCUGCACAGGCCUGUAGCCCCCUCUCCUGAAGGAGCAGAGACAGAUUAGUGAGGCUUCCAGUUUACCUGGAAAGCAAGCAAACAAAUCCUGAACCCAGGUUCAGAGAGAGACCCUAACGGUCCUGAGGGCACUGAUCAGUUUUCUCUACCCAAGCACUGUUUAUUUUUUCAGUGUGCCCUUGGCUGGAGAGAUGACAGCCCAGUGGUUAAAAGCACUCAUGGAAACACAGAAUAAAUCUUUUUAAAUUCUCAGAUUUGAUAAAAAGAUAUAAGCUGAAGAACUAGAAAACUUGGGCAAGUCCACCCAUGUCACGGCAGGCCUGCAUAUAAAUAGAAAGUUAUUACGGCCCUCCAUGGGCCCUGCCACCUGCAUCCCAGGAGAGGCCUGAGGCCGUCUUCAGUCCCUCCCAUGCUGCCUUAGAGAGCAGGACAGUGGAAAUAGUAAACACCCAGCACAGCAGGACACAAAUCCAAAACUCUUAAUUUAUUAUAGACGCACCUCACCUGUGUUGUCAUCCAGUGCUGACCAGUAAUAAAUACACCUGUUAAAGUCUCCAGUGUUGACUCUAUAAAGUCUUAGGCCAUAAAAACAGUUGAUCAAACAGUUGUGAUCAAAUUAAAAACUUCACCUUCUGAGGUGGCGUGGGUUGCAGAAUUGUGAGUGAUCAGAGUGCUCCGCCUCCUGGAGACUGAAGCUCCCCUGUGCUAGACCAGUCUUUGUGUCCUUGCCAUCUGCAGGCUACCUGGGGUGAGUGACCUCAGACCAUGUCAUGUAGGCUUUCCUCUCACCAGUCAGUCAUUAGCAGUCCCGUGCACUCAGGAGAACACAGCUUAGGUUCUGAUCCAGAGCGGCUGUACACCUCAUGUACUUGGGCACCUGAUUCAAACAGCAAUCCACGGGGAAGUAAACGACUGAGUAACUCCAGGCUCC
rnacentral:lncRNA from 1 species